UUUUCUUUUCCUUUUUGUUUUCUUCAACAAAAUCAAAUGGCGUUUCUCUCAGAUUUUCCAGUUUAGGGGAUCGAUCGGAACAAUCUCUGAACUACUCUGAAUCUCCCGGUGGGACUCCACCGAAACCCUCUCUAAGCCGCCGCCGCCGUCGUCAGCUCCACCCCGAUUUAACCCACCAGCCGCUGUCCUCUGAAUUUUUCUCUCCUUUUUCCGUUUUCCAUCUGAAAUGGUGAAAGCUUUGCCUCUUCACCUCGCAAGCGUGAAAUUUUUCCCCAAAUUCGACGGUUCUUAUGAUCUUCCUUCGCUUCUCCUGCUCCCGCCCGCGAGGCUCCCCGCCUCUGGUUUCAACAAGCUUCCUCUGUCUCGAAAAUUUCCGCGGAUUUCCCAGAAAGUUUAUGUGACUGAUGAGAAGGUUUCGCUGCUUGGAGCUUGGACGCAAGAGAGUUCCCUGCAAUUUCGAGAUGAAUCGCCUGUUUCGAUGGAGCUCCAGUCCAUUAGCAGCGAACUUGAAUUCGAUCAGGCUAUUGCAGAUGCGGAGGAACACAACGGGCUCGUGAUUCUUGUAUGGAUGGCUAACUGGUGCAGAAAUUAUAUUUAUUUGAUACCCCAAUUGGAAAGAUUGGCUGCUGAUUAUUACCCCAGAUUGCAGUUCUACUGCAUUAAUGUCAAUAUGGUGCCACACAAGCUAGUUGUUCGUGCCGGAUUAGCUAAGAUGCCAGCUAUUCAGCUAUGGAAGGAUGGCAAGAAACAAGACGAGGUGAUUGGUCUCUACAAAGCAUAUUUAGUUGUCAACGACGUUCAGAAAAUGAUCGAACGUGAGCUAACAGAAUCCAUCAAUUUCAAACAAUUUAAGAGUCUAGGUCGCAAGCCCACUUUUAGUACCUGUUAAGCCGUCCUACUCUUGAAGCAUUAUCAUGAAUGGGCCUCCAAUCGUGGUUCGAAUGCCACUUCCAGAAUCCUCGGGACUUUUGUUCAUUAUCUCCAUCCCAAUGUGGGGGUCCAAUGGUGGUCGAAUGCCAAGGAAGCGGAAUACUGUUGGGGCAUUAUCAUGAAUGGAAGGUAAACUGGGGAGGAUUUGACUGUUUCUCUUGCUAAAUAUUAGAAUAUCAUGUAUUAGAUCAGUUUGCCUAAGAAGACGGUUGAUUUAGUGCGGUGGAUCUCGAUCAUACGCCUCAGGUUGCUGACUUAUAAUUUUCUAUGGUUUUUCGAAUUUGUUAUGUAAUUUCUUGACUUACAUCAAUUCCAAAACUGUUUUUGGUUUCAAGAAAUGCAAAGGUUUUUAAAAACUGUUUUGGGUCAUUGAAGAACAGGGCCCGAGUCCUUUUAUUAAAAAUGGAGUUAAACAUGGUGAGUCCAUGCUAAUUAGGUUUGUUUUGUUUAUUUGAUUUGCUCUAUGUGAGACUCUAUUUGUGUAGGUAUUUUCACCUUUGUGGUAAUAGUGUUAUUGCUUCGACAAAUAUUGGUAUGAAGAGGUUUUUCUUAAUGGGUUUCUCGCUAAUUUUCCGCAAAUUUGUUGUUCAAGCUAUCCUCGUUCGUGGCUAAUGAAACUAAUCUAUGCAAUGGUUCUAAUUGUUAUAGAUUUUGGUUUAGGUGGCUUACAAUCAAUGUCCUUGGACCACUUAUUUCGAUGAAUUAAGGUAAAUCAUUUGGUUUUUCCUUCUGUUUUAGCAAAAUCAUUGAAAGGACCUUGUGUUUUCUUGUCUCAUGUGGUUCAUGUGAACUAUUUUAAACUUUAAAAGUUUUAUAUCUUGGAGUUUUAUUGGUGGUCUGUCAUUUGAUCUCUUGUGUUUUAUUUAGUAUUUUCUUUUGGUAAAGUAUUGAAUGUGCUGUCACAUUGUUGUAGAUGCAUGUCUAAACCAUAGAUUGUUCCUAGACUCCUGGGAUAACCUCUCUUUCCUCUUUGGAUUAGGCCUUUUUUUUUAUAUGCCUAUGUGGUUUGUCUGGUGUUAAACAAGUGCGGUGAAUCUCUAAUCAAAUGCCUCAGGUUUGCUGGCUUGUCUCUUUGGUUUUUCAAGUUUGUUAUGUAUUUUCUUGACCGACAGAAUAUGCUUUAAGAAAUGGGUACGAGCGGCUUACAUCAAUUCCAAUACUUUUUUUGGUUUCCUGAGAUGCAAUGGUUAUUUCAAAAACUGUUUUUAACCUGUUAGAAACAUGCUUUUAAUUAGGUGCGUUAAUAAAAACUUGCUUUAUAUAUGUCAAGCUAUGCUUAUUUUAACGCUUCUCAUUGAUUCAUGAGAUUGUUUCGAGUUGGUUUUUAAAGACAAUUAUCUUUUGAGAGCAAUGCUUUGGUUAAAACAUGUUAUUUUCUUAAUCCAAAUAUUGAUCUCUUGAACUUAGUAUAAAAAAUAUGUAACCUUGCCUUUUUGUCUAUAUUCAUGAUCUUACUUUGUUUGAGGCACUUUGCUAGUAGUUCUGGGUUUGUUGAAGGCCAUCUUGACUGAUUGCUCUAAUGGGUGUUUUAUCACACACGCUUCUCUAAUGGCCAUAUUUUGGUGUCUAUUCAGCCUAUCACUCUUGACCACUGGUAGGUAUCGUUGUUUCAACGAAUACUAAUAUGAAGAGGGUUCUUUUGAAAUGGGUCAGGUUUGAGUUCUUUCUCUUCUUUCUUUGAAAGACGUCUGGAAUGGUCCAUUUGUGUUACUUCAUCAAAUUCUUGUGUGUCUUAGCACAACUAUGUUCCAAACGCAAGGGAAAUGAAAUGCUUGGAGAAUUUUCAUCAGGGGAAGAGCUUUGGUAAAUUGGUAUGGUUUUCUUGAUUUAAUCUUCUCCAUCGAAUCUAAUGUUUAGUUAUUUAUUAAGGUGUUAAACAACGUGUUGACAACUAAAUUUGGGAUUCUAUUUGUCCUGGUGUUUCUGUCUGUGGCUUGUAGUCAACAUGAAUUAGGUGGAAUCUUUGUUUAGAAACAUGCUUGUAGUGAUGUCCAAACCAAAUCAGUUGAGUGUUUAUUAAUUAUUUUUUUGAAAGAAAAAUUAGAAACAAGUCAUUUUGGGUAUGAGGGAUGAUGUUUUAAUUUUUUAGAUUUAUAUCAAAUUUUGCUAAGGUAAUUUUUACCUUUUCUAGUUUGUUUAUGAGAGGGUUUCAUGACAAUUUUUAAUGUUCAGCCUUUUUCCGGGAGAUCUAUGCCUUUUUCCAAGGGUCUCGGUUGUCUUGAAUUAUUAAUUGGGUGUUGUGUUGUCGAAAUCUUUGAUAUACUAUUUUGAAGUAUGGAUGUCUCGAAAUGAUAAUUGUUAUGAAAUAUGAAAUAUCGAUUAUUUUGGUACACUAACUGUCUAGACAUAAUGGUUGCUUUAAUGGUGUGAAAUAUGGGUUGCCCGGACAAUAUUUGUCUAGACAUAAUAGGUUGCCUUGAUGGAAUCUAAAAUAAUGCUCAAAAUAUUAAUUGUCUCGGGAUGAUAAUUGUUGCGGAAUAUCGGUUGUCUUGGUACAAUGAUUGCCUUGAUAGUUCAGACAUAGGCAUAUUGGUUGCUUUGAUGGUGUGAAAUAUUGGUUGCCUUGGCAAUUAUUUGUCAAAGACAUAAUGGUUUCUUUGAUGGAAUCCAAAAUAAUGGUUGUUCGAAAUAUUGGUUGUCUCGGGAUGAUAAUUGUUGCGAAAUAUCGGUUGUCUUGGUACGCUGAUUGUCCAUACAUAAUAGUUGCCUUGACAAUUGUCCAGACAUAAUGGUCUAAAAUAAUAGUUGUUCGAAAUAGUGAUUGUCUCGUGAUGAUAAUUGUUGCAAAAUUGUCUUGGUACAACGAUUGUCCAAACAUAAUAGUUGCCUUGACAAUUGUCCUGAUAUAAUGGCUCCCUUGAUGGAAUCCAAAAUAAUGGCCGCUCGAAAUAUUGGUUGUCUUGGGAUGAUAAUUGUUGUGGAAUAUCAGUUCUUGGUACAAUAAUUGUCUUGAUAGUUCAAACAUAGUGGUUGCUUUGAUGGUGUGAAAUAUUGGUUGCCUUGGCAAUAUUUGUCCAUACAUAAUGGUUGCUCGAAAUAUUGUUUGUCUUAGAAUUAUAAUUCUGGCAAAAUAUCGGAUUGGUACAAUAAUUGUUCAGGCAUUUUGUGAAAUAUUGGUUGUUUUGGUACAAUGAUCGUCCAAAUAUAAUGUUUGCAUUGAUGUUGGAAUGAUAAUUGCGAAUAUCAGUUGUUUUUGUAUAAUAAUUGUCCAAACAUUGCCCCGACGAUAGAAUACAGUAUAAUUGUUUU